rnacentral:lncRNA from 1 species
GUCUCUGGACUUGCGCUUAAGUUGUAAAUUACAGUUGUGAACUAAUUAAAGACCAUGUACUUAACGUGUGUUGUUGCAUGUCAUGCUCGAUAUGAAAAUAUUUAAAAAAAUUAAAAUUCUAAUUAAGAUGAUCUAAUACCAUUAACUAUCUACAAUACAUAGAAAGUAUUAACUUAUUUAAGGGAGAAGAAAAUUACGGAAGAGUCAAGGGACAUCCCUGACAAUUAACAUUGGAAG